AUAUUUCACACAUUAAGUCGCUCUGGAUAAGAGCGUCUGCUAAAUGACUUAAA
rfam:Salmo salar isolate Sally breed double haploid chromosome ssa14, whole genome shotgun sequence.